rnacentral:rRNA from 1 species
UGGGUGGUAAAUUUCACCUAAGGCUAAAUAUAUGCAAGAGACCGAUAGCGAACAAGUACCGUGAGGGAAAGAUGAAAAGAACUUUGAAAAGAGAGUUAAACAGUACGUGAAAUUGUUGAAAGGGAAACGAUUGAAGUCAGUCAUGCUAGUGAGGAAUCAACUUGGUGGUUUACCUCCUCGUGCAUUUUCUCGCUUGGCAGGUUAGCAUCAAUUUUGGUUGUCAUCAAAGAAUUGGGGGAAUGUGGCUUUUCUUCGGUAAAGUGUUAUAGACCCUGAUUGAUGUGACGACCGGGAUUGAGGUUUGCAGCGGAUGCCUUUUGGGGCUAGUCACCUGUCUUCUGACCGUCACCUCGCUCUUGACAGCUUGCUGAUGAUUGUGGGAUUUGGCGACCUAGAAGUUAGAGUGAACAUAAAUUCGCUAAGGAUGCUGACGUAAUGGCUUUAAACGACCCGUCUUGAAACACGGACCAAGGAGUCUAACAUAUGUGCGAGUGAUUGGGUGACAAAACCCGGAACGCGUAAUGAAAGUGAUUCUGGUGGGAACCCCUCGGGGUGCACCAUCGACC